CCCCAGUAUCCCGCACUACAAAGGGGGAAACGGGGAGAGGCUACGCAGGGAGCUGGGAGUCGGUCUGCAAGGGACGGGGAGCCGCGCGCCUCCCCAACUCGGUGGGGCGUGCCUGGUCCCCAAGCCCACUCUUGUCCCACCCCCGACCCUGCGCUCAGAGCCCCGAGCUCCGUGCGGGACCCAGAAGCGCGCGGCCAGAUACUGCAGUCCGGCCCGCGGAAGGCUGCGGCGGACAGACCCCAGGAGCCCAGGGGCGUGCAGCGGGCCAGCGAGGGCCGUCACCUCCCCACGCUGGAGGGGCCUGGGGACCAAGACCUCCACCCAAACUUAAGGCGCAGAGUGAAGGCUGGGAGCGACCGAGUCACCCUUUCCCGCCGCGUUCCCAACAGUUCCGGUGGCAGAAAAUGGCCCAGGCUUGGUGUUUGAGCCCAGUAAAAUAGAAGGGGCAGUCCUCCGAGGGCCUCGGCCGGCUCUGCGGGGCGCCGAGAGCUGCAGAGGCUCUUGGCCGCGCCCCGCCCAGCGCCAGGAAGCCUGACAGGGAGGGGAUGGCUCCCGGGUCGUGCCCUGGCCAGGCGCGGGGGCCGCAAGGCCCGGAUCCCACCUGCCAGGACGCGCAGAGCGCAGGUCGCCGGUGAGCGCCAUCUGCUCGGGGCAGGUCCCCACUGGCCACACGACGCUGCUGCAGCAUUCGAGGCCCGCAGGGACGUCGUUCCCCGACCCACACACCUGAGCCAGUCUGCCCGUGGCUGGGGGCGAAGAGUUUAGCCGGGAAGGUGGAGGAGCUGCGGCCUCUGCCCCGCCGGCACUGCGGGUCGGGGGAAGAGACCCUGGGACUCCCCGCAGAUCCUGGAGUGCCCCCGACAUCCCCUUCCACCGUAACAAGUGUAACCCCCACCUGCCUUCUCCAAAAGCCCAUGGCAGGCUUGGGGGCAGAGGGACCGGAAGCCUUGACCGUGCAAACCCAGCGGGAAAGCGAAAUCCACUAGGAACUGGAGGCCGCCGUCAGGAAGUCCGGCUCCUGGGACCGAGCUCCGGGCCCUCCCAGCCUCGAGGUCCUCGCCCUAUGGAGACACGAGGAGGAGAGGGCCCGAGCUGGCCGACGCGGCCCGCCCUCCUGCUCCUCGGGGCGCUGACCCCCUCCCUCCCCAACCCCUGAGCGCCGGGGCGCCCCCGAGAGCCCGCAGGGAGGCCAAGGCCCGGGAGACAGGCCGAGGGGAGGAAGAUAAACAAGCGGCGCUUGAUGGCCGCUGUCAUCAUGGCCAUCAUCAUGGCUUUCAUUUGGCUGCCUAAUGAGUCACAUCACAGGCAGAGAGAAAAAUUGUCAAUCGCCCGGGCCCUAAUGAAUUUUUUUGCAAAUUGUAAUCAAGCCAGGCCGUCUCAGCUGGCUGAUUAAUGAGACCCACGAGGCUCGGCCAGCACCUCCGCUUUUUAUUCCAUCCCGUCCUCCCUGCACUAAAUUAACAGCAACUUGUCUGCGCUUCAAAUUAACUCCCAAUGAUUAAUUCUGAUGGGGGGGCCUGAAGAAUAGCUUGUUCUAAUAGGCUCUGGCCUGAGAUGCUGUUGGAAAUUAAUACACUUCCCCUUUGGCUGCCGGCUUUAAUCCAAGGUUGGGUUUUGACAUCACUAUAUUUGUUGUUACAAUAAAUUCCACUUACAUCUGCA
ensembl:lncRNA